GACAGAGGAUGCAAGCGUUAUCCGGAAUGAUUGGGCGUAAAGCGUCUGUAGGUGGCUUUUUAAGUCCGCCGUCAAAUCCCAGGGCUCAACCCUGGACAGGCGGUGGAAACUACCAAGCUGGAGUACGGUAGGGGCAGAGGGAAUUUCCGGUGGAGCGGUGAAAUGCGCAGAGUAUCAGGAGGAACGACCGGUGGCGAAGGCGGGUCUCUGGGCAGUAACUGACGCUGAGGAGCGAAAGCGUGGGGAGCGAACAGG
rnacentral:rRNA from 1 species